AUUUUGCAGCCCGACCUGAAUGGAGCUCUUUUUUCUGUAGCAAAGCGGAGGAAAAAAAGCGGGAAUGGAGGGCGGAAAAAGAU
rnacentral:misc_RNA from 1 species